rnacentral:rRNA from 1 species
UACGGGGGGGGCAAGCGUUGUUCGGAAUUACUGGGCGUAAAGGGCUCGUAGGUGGCCAACUAAGUCAGACGUGAAAUCCCUCGGCUUAACCGGGGAACUGCGUCUGAUACUGGAUGGCUUGAGUUUGGGAGAGGGACGCGGAAUUCCAGGUGUAGCGGUGAAAUGCGUAGAUAUCUGGAGGAACACCGGUGGCGAAGGCGGCGUCCUGGACCAGCACUGACACUGAGGCACGAAAGCGUGGGGAGCAAACAGGG